rnacentral:lncRNA from 1 species
UCCUAACUUGUUACAUUGAGUACUUAUGAUUUAUUUCCACCAUAACUCUGACUGUGUUUCACUAGGACAGUGUAAUUUAAGUCUGAGGGGAGGUUUACUGAUAUUAUUUAUUCUGAUUCUUAUAAAAAGAUUUUAAUAAAGUUAUGCUUAGCGAUGUGAAAGGGACUAUGAUCUUAUUAUUGAUUUAUACUUGAAUGUCUAACCACUCUUUAGCACCUUUCUAGAUUUACUGAUUGCAGAUAGUACUAAAGAUGCUAAAGUGGAUCAACCUGUCAACUAUACACACUUGCUUUGAUUGUUUGAAGGAACCAAAGCUGGCCUCCAACACUAAACCUGACAUAAUCGCUUGUCUUGGGGCUUGGUAUACAUGGGAUCGGAUUCUUCAAACAAU